AGUCCAGUAGCACCUUAGAGACCAACUGAGUUUGUUCUUGAUAUAAGAUUUUGUGUGCAUGCACACUUUCUAAGCUUAAACCAAGAACAAACUUAGUUGGUCUCUAAGGUGCUACUAGACA